rnacentral:tRNA from 1 species
GGGGGUAGAUGGGUGCUGGUGUGCCUUCCGGUCUUCAAAACCGGUUCGGGGAGUUAAGAGCUUCCUGGGUGGGUUCGAUUCCCACAUACUCCCGCCA